rnacentral:pre_miRNA from 1 species
CAGUAUUCCGGUGUCUUGGAUCGGACUGGAUUUGUUGACAAAUGCAUUUUUGAAGCAGAUAACAAAUCUAAAAAUGCUUUUCCAGUCAACAAAUACCAGUUUGAGCUGAGAUUGGGCUGAGAUUCA